UUCUUUGACUGGUGACUUUGGUGGUGACGGGACUGUCUCACUUACUUCUUCCGGCUGUAACACAGGUUUGGGUCUUGCAAGUGGACUCUCGCGGCCAGCAAAGAAGUCUUCAAUAGAGGCUUCCUCAGCCUCAACAGGUGAUGGCUCUUCUUUGACUGGUGACUUUGGUGGUGACGGGACUGUCUCACUUACUUCUUCCGGCUGUAACACAGGUUUGGGUCUUGCAAGUGGACUCUCGCGGCCAGCAAAGAAG